UGCCGCGUGUGUGAAGAAGGCCUCCGGGUUGUAAAGCACUUUUGUCCGGAAAGAAAUCCUUGGUUCUAAUACAGUCGGGGGAUGACGGUACCGGAAGAAUAAGCACCGGCUAACUACGUGCCAGCAGCCGCGGUAAUACGUAGGGUGCGAGCGUUAAUCGGAAUUACUGGGCGUAAAGCGUGCGCAGGCGGUUUGCUAAGACCGAUGUGAAAUCCCCGGGCUCAACCUGGGAACUGCAUUGGUGACUGGCAGGCUAGAGUAUGGCAGAGGGGGGUAGAAUUCCACGUGUAGCAGUGAAAUGCGUAGAGAUGUGGAGGAAUACCGAUGGCGAAGGCAGCCCCCUGGGCCAAUACUGACGCUCAUGCACGAAAGCGUGGGGAGCAAACAGGAUUAGAUACCCUGGUAGUCCACGCCCUAAACGAUGUCAACUAGUUGUUGGGGAUUCAUUUCCUUAGUAACGUAGCUAACGCGUGAAGUUGACCGCCUGGGGAGUACGGUCGCAAGAUUAAAACUCAAAGGAAUUGACGGGGACCCGCACAAGCGGUGGAUGAUGUGGAUUAAUUCGAUGCAACGCGAAAAACCUUACCUACCCUUGACAUGGUCGGAAUCCUG
rnacentral:rRNA from 1 species